AUGAAAUCACCUUUGGUGGCCACAUUCUCAUUUUUUGCACGAGGAGGUGAUGAUGGGAGAUAACCUAAUGAGAUUCUGAUCAAGAAUUAGCUAAUAAAAUAAUCAAUGCAAGUAUGUCUGACUGAUGACUUGCGAGAGAACCUAAAGAUUAGAAAUUGAGAGAAAAAAUUUUCUACAUUAAAAUUUUGGAGGCGAUCAAUCCGAAGGAGGAGG
rnacentral:lncRNA from 1 species